rnacentral:rRNA from 1 species
AACGGCCGUACCAUGCUGAAUAUACCGGUUCUCGUUAGGUCACCGAAGUCAAGCAUCAUUGGGCGCGGUCAGUACUUGGGUGGGUGAACACCUGGGAACACCGCGUGCCGUU